rnacentral:rRNA from 1 species
CACCAGCCCCUCGAGUGGUGGGGACUUUUAUUGGGCCUAAAGCGUCCGUAGCCGGCUAUAUCAGUUAUCCAUUAAAUCCAACGUCCCAAGCGUUGGACUGUGGGUAAUACCAUAUAGCUAGAGGGUGGGAAAGGUAAGCGUUAUUUCUGGGGUAGGGGCGAAAUCCUUUGAUCCCAGGAGGACCACCAGUGGCGAAGGCUGCUUACUUGAACACGCCUGACGGUCAGGGACGAAAGCUGGGGUAGCGAACCGGAUUAGAUACCCGGGUAGUCCCAGCUGUAAACGAUGCGCGCUAGGUGUUGGGUUGGCCACGUGCCGCCCCAGUGCCGCAGGGAAGCCGUUAAGCGCGCCGCCUGGGGAGUACGGCCGCAAGGCUGAAACUUAAAGGAAUUGGCGGGGGAGCACCACCAGGCGUGAAGCCUGCGGUUUAAUUGGAGUCAACGCCGGGAAUCUUACCGGGAUCGACAGCAGAGUGAAGGCCAGAUUAAAGGUCUUGCUAGACGAGCUGAGAGGAGGUGCAUGGCCGUCGUCAGUUCGUGCCGUGAGGUGUCCUCUUAAGUGAGGUAACGAACGAGACCCGCACCCCAUGUUGCCAACAGAGCCUAAAGGGCUGCUGAGCACUCUUGGGGGACCGCUGCCGACAAGGCUGAGGAAGGUACGGGCCACGGCAGGUCAGUAUGCCCCGAAUAUCCCGGGCCACACGCGGGCUGCAAUGGUAGGGACAGAGAGCUGCAACACCGAAAGGUGAAGCCAAUCCCUAAACCCUACCUCAGUUGGGAUCGAGGGCUGCAACCCGCCCUCGUGAACAUGGAAUGCCUAGUAACCGCGCGUCACCAUCGCGCAGUGAAUACGUCCCUGCUCCU